rnacentral:tRNA from 1 species
GGGCCGGUAGCUCAAUGGUCAGAGCAGUCGACUCAUAAUCGAUUGGUUGCGGGUUCGAGCCCCGCCCGGCCCA